GAAAGGCAUCUUAUAUAAUGUAUAAUAUAAGAACGGAUUCGGUUCCUUGAAAAAUGUAAGUGUGCAGAGUGCAUAGGUAGAAAUAUAGCAAUGUGGUAUGGAGUAAUCCUAAUUGACAAUCAAGGUCUGAAGUUAUGAAGAAUCCUAAUUGGAAAUGGCAGCCAUCAAAUCUAAUCUUUCAUGACAAACAUGUUCAAUAACUGAGUUCUCUUCCUGCAAUUCUUCUGCGACCAGCUCCAUUGCGGGGCAGCUACUUCUUCUAACCAAUUCUUGUCUCCCUAAUUUACUUUCUACUUUAUGCAACUAGAGUUCGGCUAGCAGGUAGACUCCUACAAUAAAGGCGACAGCGGCCAGCUGCUGCACCUACCUUGUUUCUGAUAGUACUUGAAUUAUGUUGCGCUAUCCAAUAUACGACAUUAAAAAUUAGGCCAAAACUAAAGAAUGGUUAAAUACGUCCCGCUAACUUAUCAAUAACGUCUUGUUGAAGUGGUCAACUCUGUUGAGCUGUGCAUUAUCUUUAUAUUAGCAUUUGUGUAAACGUUGUCCAAAUAGUUGAAGCACUUGUUCUGGAGCCCUUAAAUAAACCCUAACCCUCACUUUCCACCCUUGUUUGCUAUGUAAUAAAGGGAACAUUUAGUUCCCACUCCCCACUCCAUAUGACACGAGAGCAAAUUUGUAUAUUUUUUGAUAGUAAGCAAAUUUGUAUAUGAAAGCUAGACAAACACUAGAUCGAAAAUGAAUAGAUUUCACCAACUCACGUUUGUUCUACUAAACGCCCUCCUCACUCUAUUUGUGGCAAGAAGAUGAAGAGCAAGUUGGAGAUCUGAAAGUUGUUCAUAUCGGGUACUAUCUUCCGAUGUGGCGCAGCUUAUGCAUCACAUUUGUCCACACACAUUCCCGAUUCUAAUGCACGGUCUUCAACUCUUCUACAUACCGUGUUGCAUCUUGUUCUUUCACCUUCGGUUCCAUCGCACCGUUCCCGAUUCUAAUCGAUCUCCUGUCCCUUUCAGAUCCAUGUGUGCGUGGAGAAUGGUGGGUAGUACAGUCUCAGGAGGACUGCGGCGAUAUCUCCACCGCUGUCGCGGAGGAUGGAGUCCAUGUUGCCAAUGUCACAGAGGAUGGUGUCCUUGUUGCCGCCAUCGUAGCAUGGCCAUCGCAGAAUAGAGAGACGCUCAUGAAUUGAUUUGUUAGGUUCCUCCAGCUGUCCUAGGGUCCCUGAGUUGGUUAAUGUUGAUUUUGCUCAGGCACGGUCCAUCUUAGGGGUCAACGAGAGGUGGCUCAAGCGAUACGGGAUGGCGGCGAGCAGCGGCGACCGCAGCGGAUGGUGCAGCAGACUGGACAUGCUUUAGAAAUCGCGGUCAAGACAACACGUCUUGGGGAGUGGUGCGCCCGUCAAGCGACAGCGUCUGAUUCCGACACAACAAGGUGAGCUUUCCCCAAAUCCUCUUUCUUUAUAUCUUUCUCUCUUUCCAUCAAGCUUGUGCGAUGUGCUAUACUUUCUCAUCUUUUAUUAGAUAAUUGUUGGCACUUUCAAGGACCCAUUACACCUCGCUGUGGAAUUACUUGAUAUGUUGUGCAGCGUGAGACCCAUUACACCCCCUGUGGACCCAUUACACUUUCAAGGGCUGCAUAUAGUGUUGUGAGCCUUCCCUGUGGCCUCCUUUUUAGUCUUGAUUUGAGGCUAUUGCUACCUACCGUGUAGUUUCAUGCCUAUGCUCUGACUUGUUCAAGACUUCUUUUUUUCUUAUAUUGUUUUAAGGACUAUCACUCAAGUCUUAGGAUUUGACGACAUUAUUUCUGGCUGUUAGAUUGUACAACAUCUUUGUUAUGGAUUGUGACACCCACACAAUACUGGAUUCAGCCAGAGAAGGCGGGGAUCCGUGGAUGCCAGUGAGGGAAGCAGCUUGGCUCGGGCCGACCAUGGUGCUAGCGUUGCAGAGUCGCCGCCAUCCUCAUUCGUCUCCCAUCCACAGCUGGCUCCAACCCCUCCUAUGAUGUCGUGCUAUGAGAGCAAGAAAAAGAGAAGACAUGCUCUGUAUCUACAUCCAGCGUCCACACAGCCAGAUAAUGGUACUGCUCUGAAUAAUUUUUUUUGUUUAGAGCAACGGUGAUGCAUGUAACUAUGUUACCUUAAAUUAUCUGCUUGUGUUAAUUGAAAAAAUUAUGUUCCUUGCUUA